AUACGUAGGUGGCAAGCGUUGUCCGGAAUUAUUGGGCGUAGAGCGCGCGCAGGUGGUUCCUUAAGUCUGAUGUGAAAGCCCCCGGCUCAACCGGGGAGGGUCAUUGGAAACUGGGGAACUUGAGUGCAGAAGAGGAUAGUGGAAUUCCAAGUGUAGCGGUGAAAUGCGUAGAGAUUUGGAGGAACACCAGUGGCGAAGGCGACUGUCUGGUCUGUAACUGACACUGAGGCGCGAAAGCGUGGGGAGCAAACAGGAUUAGAUACCCGGGUAGUCCACGCCGUAAACGAUGAGUGCUAAGUGUUGGGGGGUUUCCGCCCCUCAGUGCUGCAGCUAACGCAUUAAGCACUCCGCCUGGGGAGUACGGUCGCAAGACUGAAACUCAAAUGAAUUGACGGGG
rnacentral:rRNA from 1 species